GAUGAACGCUAGCGGCAGGCUUAACACAUGCAAGUCGAGGGGCAGCAUAAAUAGUAGCAAUACUAUUGGUGGCGACCGGCGGACGGGUGCGUAACGCGUAUACAACCUUCCCUAAACAGGGGGAUAAUCUGGAGAAAUUCGGUCUAAUACCCCAUAACAUCAGAGCAGGCAUCUGUUUUGGUUAAAAUUUCCGGAGGUUUAGGAUGGGUAUGCGUAGCAUUAGCUAGUUGGUGAGGUAACGGCUCACCAAGGCGACGAUGCUUAGGGGGACUGAGAGGUUAACCCACCUCACUGGUACUGAGAACCGUGACAGAAUCCUACGGGAGGCAGCAGUGAGGCAUAUUGGUCAAUGGGCGUAAACCUGAACCAGCCAUGCCGCGUGCAGGAUGACGGCACUAUGAGUUGUAAACUGCUUUUGUACGAGAGUAAAGUGGGCUACGUGUAGCCUUUUGAAAGUAUCGUACGAAUAAGGAUCGGCUAACUCCGUGCCAGCCGCCGCAGUAA
rnacentral:rRNA from 1 species